UACGUAGGGUGCGAGCGUUAAUCGGAAUUACUGGGCGUAAAGCGUGCGCAGGCGGUUCGUUAAGUCAGAUGUGAAAGCCCCGGGCUCAACCUGGGAACUGCAUUUGAAACUGGCGGGCUUGAGUGUGGCAGAGGGGGGUGGAAUUCCGCGUGUAGCAGUGAAAUGCGUAGAGAUGCGGAGGAACACCGAUGGCGAAGGCAGCCCCCUGGGCUAGCACUGACGCUCAGGCACGAAAGCGUGGGGAGCAAACAGG
rnacentral:rRNA from 1 species